rnacentral:rRNA from 1 species
GGACUACUGGGGUAUCUAAUCCCAUUCGCGACCCACGCUUUCGUGCUUCAGCGUCAGGAGCGGGCCAGUCUCUUGCCUUCGCUUUCGGUGUUCCCCAUGAUAUCAACGCAUUUCACCGCUACACCAUGAGUUCCAGAGACCUCUCCCGUCCUCUUAGUUUCGCCGUUUCCUACGCGGACUCUCGGUUGAGCCGAAAGAUUUAACGCAAGACUAACGAAACCGCCUACGCACCCUUUACGCCCAAUGAUUCCGGAUAACGCUCGAGGCACUCGUAUUACCGCGGCUGCUGGCAC